GGACGACUUACAUCCAACCCUGUGACAUACCUAUACGUUGCCUCGGCGGAUCAGCCCGCGCCCCGUAAAAAGGGACGGCCCGCCCGAGGACCCCUAAACUCUGUUUUUAGUGGAACUUCUGAGUAAAACAAACAAAUAAAUCAAAACUUUCAACAACGGAUCUCUUGGUUCUGGCAUCGAUGAAGAACGCAGCAAAAUGCGAUAAGUAAUGUGAAUUGCAGAAUUCAGUGAAUCAUCGAAUCUUUGAACGCACAUUGCGCCCGCCAGUAUUCUGGCGGGCAUGCCUGUUCGAGCGUCAUUUCAACCCUCAAGCUCAGCUUGGUGUUGGGACUCGCGGUAACCCGCGUUCCCCAAAUCGAUUGGCGGUCACGUCGAGCUUCCAUAGCGUAGUAAUCAUACACCUCGUUACUGGUAAUCGUCGCGGCCACGCCGUAAAACCCCAACUUCUGAAUGUUGACCUCGGAUCAGGUAGGAAUACCCGCUGAACUUAAGCAUAUCAAUAAGCGGAGGAAA
rnacentral:sRNA from 1 species